rnacentral:misc_RNA from 1 species
AAGAUAAUGAAAAAAAAUAUGCCAAACUUGUAUAUAUUUUAGUAGCUUAAUUGGGAGACUGAAAGAGACUCGAAUGAUUGGAGUUCUAUCAACAUUUAACUAAUUAGAAUUUGAUUAGUCGACUAGAAAAGGUUGGUAGAAAGUCGUGUAACUCUAUUCCUUUUCUUUUAAAGUAAUAAAUUAAUUGGGCUAAACCAAACUCUCCAUAUCCGAAUCAAUUGAGCAGGAUCCAUCAUCUACAUUGGCAAGAGGGUUGUACAAGUGUGAGCCACGAUCCAUGCAUCCUGGAACUAGAUCAAGAUUGCAGCGAUCACCUCCUUCGAUGGAAAGGUUACCGAUCAUAGCACAUCUUGUGAUAACAAUACUAGUAUCCGGAAAUAUUGCCUUUUCACACGCACCUUCUUUACUCAACUCCUGUGCCAGGCCCUCAUUAAAGAAUUCAAUUGGUCUGUUUUGCCAAGCCUUAGGAACUUGAAACUGCAGUCUGUAAGGACCAUCCCAAUCAACUCCAUUUGUGAAUGAGCAGAUCAAGUUCACAGCAUGCUUAGGAAUGCAUAUCUGGAUGGUAUAUAUUGGUGGAUCAGCUUUGCCUCUUGCUUUCCUGAGCAUCGCUCUUGGCUCACCACCACACAUAAUGGGCUGAUUAAAACCUCCAUUAAAGCCAAUACCAAAAUCUUCAUUUGGAACAAGCAUUUUGGCAGCCGGAUUAUAGAAAAGCUUUAGCUUCUCUCCAGAAGUUGGAGGAAGACCAUUCAUGGUUUUCCAAUAUAUAGGAGCCUUCCCAAGUUCAAACAUAGCCCAGCUAGGAAGCACAUACCUGCAAGGAACGAAAAAGCAGAUUACUCAUGAUUGCUGCUAGGGGUGGCCACUGGUCUGGAACGGGCCAUGGCUGGAAUUGAUGUUUCCGGUUCAAAGUUCAGGGGACUGGGACGGGACUGUAUGUCCCCUUAUUUCGAGUUCCUGUCCCAGUCUCGAUUUUAGUUCACUUCAGUCCAGUUUUGGCUUGGAACCAAAUCGUCCAGUUUUGGAUAGUUUCAAGACCAGUUUUGAUCAAUGCGAUUUUCAUUCCUUUCGGUUCUGGUUUGGAUCAGUAAUUGAACCAUGGCUGGGUCUAAUUGCUACUCAGCUUCUUAAAUGUAAAAGACAAAAAAAAUUAUUGUUUGGACUAAAAGUUUUCAAAACAUCAUAUUGAUUAUGGUGCACAUAACAACUCAGCAUGUUGACUAUACAGAAAUAAACAUUCCAGGAAGAAGAACAGCAUUAGAAAAGAAAAGACCUUAGUUUACAAACAAAAAUUUAAUGCUUGCUUGCAUGUGAUAAAGUAUGAAUCCAUAACAUGGAAGAAGUGCAAAUUCAUACUCAGUAAUUUCCUCCAUUGAAGUUGUAGCAACAGCAGCUGCAGCAGUUACUUUCCUACUAAUCUUGACUGUUCUGUUCUUUUUUGUCCAACUCAUUGGUAGCGAAGCACCAAUAAUAGUACAUGCUGCAAUUUGAAAGAUAUUAAGUCCCAUGCUUUUAAAAUCUAAUAUAUUUGUAAAUUCCCUGUUUUUUAUUUUCAAACUCAUACAGGAACCUGUACACAAAUUUUGAUGCAGAUAGAACAUAUAUUCAAUACAUCCCAUCAUCAAAAGUAAAUGCUUGAGAUUUGGAUGGCUCGCUACUUGUACUUAAAAAUCAGACUCCUAGUUCCUAAAUAGAUGACAACAUAACAGAUUUAUUAAGUUUAGUCAUUCAUAAUGCAGUUUGGAAUGUAAAUUAAUAUAGCACCCCAAAAGACAAAAUCUUGAAUAGUCUGCAUAUCCCAAAUCUUGAAUCUUUGAGUAUAUACUUGCCAUUCAACAGCUGCAAAAUCGUCUUUUUCAAAGCUAAAUUGGAGGAAAGUCAACCUUUUUUGCUAGACCAAACAAGAUUUUGUCAACAAAGUGAAGCCUUGUGACCUAACUAAGCUACAUGAGCUCAUCACAGAAAUUUAUAAAAUAAACUUGAAGCAGAAAACAGUAACGUACCACUUGCAACUUUACUCUUUGAUCCUCAAUUAAAAGUGGUCACUGUCAAAUUCGUUAACUUCAAUACCCCCUUUGGAACAUCAUUUCUGUAACUCUGGAAUAGAUUUUCAAUUCCAUUUGCUUUCUAUGAUGUUUGACGGAAGCAAAAGUAAGAAACAAGCUCAAGCACACGGAUUCUUUCCUUAAACAAGUACAAUACCCAUUGGUUCUACCACCAAAACAAAUUUAGGUCAGGGCGCGGGGGACCCCAGGCCUUCUUCCACAAACUAGCAACUAUAAUUUACUCUCAGUUUCAUCAUCAAAUUCAUAGGUUACAUCGUCUACUUAUCAAACAAAAUCCAAAAACAGUUUGAAAAUGAGGAAACUAAUAAGGUACGUAGAUGAAGACACUCACCAAGAGAGUUUGAGACCGAUGGGUUUGCUUUGGUAUUGCCAAUUGACCUCAUGGCAGAGAAAGUUUGCGUUGGCAAUUUAAAGCGCGAAGCACUUGUCGAUGCCAUUAUCACACUUUUAGUGAUGUUUUUAACUAACACAGAGAGAGAGAGAGAGAGA